ACAAGAUGAGUAAUUUUCAGUGGUGAAGACAGGAUGAAGUUUCUUCUUAACAGUCUUUAGUCCACUUAUAAACAGUCUCUAGUCCUUAUUUCUUAGAUGGCAACAGCAAAAGAAGAACAGCAACAGAUUUCGCAGGUGAACAACCACAAAACUACAGAAGCACACACAGAUAUUGCUACAGAUACUGCCGAAGAUAUCGCACACAGAUACGGCAACAGACACAUAUAUGUCUGCUUCUGUUUUUCCCCUUCCCUGGAGAAAGAUGAGUAUCCCUGUCUUUUUACUACUCAGAUAUCACCGAUUCUCAUAUCC
rnacentral:lncRNA from 1 species